rnacentral:lncRNA from 1 species
AAAAAACAAAAAGCCAAGAAAAUAAUAUUAAUAUCAAAGUCUAUUUACAAAAAAAAAAACAGAUCAACGCAAAUUACAAGCCCAAGCCUCAACUACCCUAACCCAAACCUGCUAAACUCAGUAGCCCAAAGGCCCAAAACCUAAAAAAAUUCAGAAAUCUUAGCUCCCUUUCGCACCGCAGCGUCGCCACGUCAGCAAGCAUGCUGUCUGACACCUCCUUUGCCACCACCGCCGUUGACUUCGCCCUUUGCCACCCCUGCCUAUAAAAAAGGGGAAAAAGACAAAAAAAGCAGAGGAUAGAAAGCAGAAGUAGAGAAACAGCGAAAAACAAAAAAGAAAGAAAAAAAUAUCUGUAUUUUAAUUCGGCUAUAGAAGUCGAAUAAAAUCCCUAUGUAUUUUACAGACUGAAGAAAUCAAUAGAAUACAAAAAAAAAGAGCAACAACAUGUUUAACAAAAAAAGGUAGUUACUUUUUUAUUUCAAAAUAUAAAAACAAAAAACAAAAAAGGCUAGAUUUUUUUUUACCUAUUUUGCUGCAUCACCGCCGUGGGUGGUCCCAUCAGCUUGAAAGGUUGCUAAAUCCCUAGGAAUUUGUCUAAGGCCGCAUGGAAAAACUGAAAGGUUUUAUUGUUGUUGAGAUUUCAUCGUUUUCAGGGGAUUUUAACCCCAUAACCGUGUUCUCUGGUAGUCAGGGUUCAAAAGGCGAAGUUUUGGGAACUCUAGCCACCGUAGGCGGCGGUCUCCGUCAUCGAUGAUCGGUGGCCACGACGGAGAUCUAUCAUCCUUGUGACUAGGUGAGGGGGGA